GGUCCUCCAGUCAACGGACUCCGGCAGCGCCUCGUUGUCGGCGGCGAGGUACCUGUCGCUGACCUUCCUCUCCCUCCGCGGCUUGUUCCUGAGGCCGAGGUAGGUGUCCCGGUACUCCUCGUUGGUGAGGUCGGCGAAGCGGUUGAGGCCGAGGCGGAAGGAGUGGACCCCGGCGUCGGCGGCGGCGUUGUGCUCGUCGAUGUACCGGAGGUUGUCCCUGAACGCCGCGUACCGCCGCUCCUCCUCGCCGACGGCGUUGUAGCUCUUGCCGUGCUCGGCCUUCCACUCCGCGUACAGCCGCCG
rnacentral:lncRNA from 1 species